rnacentral:misc_RNA from 1 species
AAGUCGUAACAAGGUUUCCGUAGGUGAACCUGCGGAAGGAUCAUUCACUUGAAAUGGGAUGGGUUCAACUUAUCUCUUUUAACGAAUUUAACCUAAACCUAACUGAGCCGCGUCAACCAAAUCCUGCGAAAACAUAUUUACACUCUGUGUUCAUUUUCUGGAAGUAGCGGGUAGGGGUUGUCUAAAAUCUUGAUUUUAGCUGACCUCUGUCUGGGCCCUGCUGUUGACCUGGUUUCAACUCGGCGGGGAAUCCUUACAUCAUCUGUGUCUACACUUUUAACCUUGUUGGCUUGAGAAAUUGGGCUAACUUAUUGAAACAAUUUAUAAAUAUACAACUCUUUGCAAUGGAUAUCUUGGUUCUC